GUGUUAGCUAUGUUCUUUAAACCUAAAGAAUUUGGCGGUAUUUUAGUCUUUUCAGAGGAACUUGUCCUAUAAUCGAUAACCCUCGUUUUAUCUUUCUUUGCUUUGUUUAAUCAGUAUGUAUAUCGCCGUUAUAAGUUUAUUUUUUUAGAAUUAUUAAUUUGCUAAUUAUUUUAUUUUAUUUUAUUUCAGGUCAAGGUGCAGUUAAUAGUUAAGUUGAGAUGAGUUACAUUAUUAUUUAGAUGUGUGGAUUUGCUAUUAUUAAAUUAAUUAAUGAAAGUGGAUUUGAUAGUAAUUUUGAUUAUAGUGUUAUUAUGAUUUUAGCUCUAAAAUAAGUACACAUCGCCCGUCGCUCU
rnacentral:rRNA from 1 species